rnacentral:rRNA from 1 species
UACAGGGGGGGCAAGCGUUGUUCGGAAUUACUGGGCGUAAAGGGUCUGUAGGUGGCCAACUAAGUCAGACGUGAAAUCCCUCAGCUUAACUGGGGAACUGCGUCUGAUACUGGAUGGCUUGAGUGUGGGAGAGGAAUGCGGAAUUCCAGGUGUAGCGGUGAAAUGCGUAGAUAUCUGGAGGAACACCGGUGGCGAAGGCGGCAUUCUGGACCGAUAUUGACGCUGAGGAGCGAAAGCCAGGGGAGCAAACGGG